rnacentral:rRNA from 1 species
GCACCGGCUAACUACGUGCCAGCAGCCGCGGUAAUACGUAGGGUGCAAGCGUUGUCCGGAAUUAUUGGGCGUAAAGAGCUCGUAGGCGGUUUGUCGCGUCUGCUGUGAAAUCCCGAGGCUCAACCUCGGGUCUGCAGUGGGUACGGGCAGACUAGAGUGCGGUAGGGGAGAUUGGAAUUCCUGGUGUAGCGGUGGAAUGCGCAGAUAUCAGGAGGAACACCGAUGGCGAAGGCAGAUCUCUGGGCCGUAACUGACGCUGAGGAGCGAAAGCAUGGGGAGCGAACAGGAUUAGAUACCCUGGUAGUCCAUGCCGUAAACGUUGGGAACUAGAUGUGGGGACCAUUCCACGGUCUCCGUGUCGCAGCUAACGCAUUAAGUUCCCCGCCUGGGGAGUACGGCCGCAAGGCUAAAACUCAAAGGAAUUGACGGGGGCCCGCACAAGCGGCGGAGCAUGCGGAUUAAUUCGAUGCAACGCGAAGAACCUUACCAAGGCUUGACAUAUACCGGAAACAUGCAGAGAUGUGUGCCCCGCAAGGUCGGUAUACAGGUGGUGCAUGGUUGUCGUCAGCUCGUGUCGUGAGAUGUUGGGUUAAGUCCCGCAACGAGCGCAACCCUCGUUCUAUGUUGCCAGCACGUAAUGGUGGGAACUCAUAGGAGACUGCCGGGGUCAACUCGGAGGAAGGUGGGGAUGACGUCAAAUCAUCAUGCCCCUUAUGUCUUGGGCUUCACGCAUGCUACAAUGGCCGGUACAAAGGGCUGCGAUACCGUAAGGUGGAGCGAAUCCCA